rnacentral:lncRNA from 1 species
UCCUUGUGUUUUUAAAUACUUUUCGCACACUUUAAGUCUAGUGAAAUGUGCAUUAGGUUCAUAGGAGUUGCUUGGAACCCUUUGAUGCAUUGCUUUCCUUGAUAUCCAUACCUUUAUAGAUACUUCCGUGAAGUAUCAAAAAUAUGAUUUACAAAAACGCUUAGCCUUGCUUAGAUCUUGUGGAUAGAGGUUGUCCUCAGUCUAACCCGGGAGAGGAUGGCUUCUACCUGCAAGAAUAUUUUCAUUUGGAGCAAUAGUGGGAUCUUACUGCAAAGUUCCCUGUGAUGCUCUUUCAUCCUAAGGAACAGACACAAUCCUGAGGAUGGAAAUACUUAAAUUGAGACUUGGGUUAGGAACAGGUGAUGUUCUACCCAGGUUGAUUAAGGAUUAACGCGUAUGUAGGCGUGCUGACCGAGGACCCUUUAACUGGUCACAUGCCUCGUCAUGGGUAAGCCUUGCCUCGGGCAGACUAAGGCCAGAAUAAGAUAACACGAAAUGGGCGUGGAGCGGUGGCGAGAGUAGCAUGUACCCUCCGUGGCAAGAGGCUGGACGGUGGUGUAUCUGUGCUCUCGGUUUGCGUGAACCUGAUCUGGUCUUAAGAACCCCGGUGGCGGGUUGACAUAUGCAAGGGUUAAGUGCUACAUAUGUCAUGUGAUUGGAGAUCCUCAGCUGAGUAUAAUCGAUUCGGAUCGCCGUACCUUCGCGGUUAUGAAGACUUGGUCACUUUUCUACAACCUAAGUCUAGAUGUGAACAUUAUGAAUAAAAAUGAUGUUGUAUUGAUGAGAUGGUGAAAUUAGACCAGCUGCAAACAAAGUCUAUUAAUACUUAAUUUGGCGUUAAAAUAUUGAAAGUAAGGACUCACUUUAGUAAGCUAUUUCUGCAAAAGUAUCUAAGUUGAUUCUUGCUAAAGCCUCUCCUUGAUUCCCAAUUCCAGCAUACCCUUGAGAGUCUUUUCUUUAGUCGGGUAAGUCUUGCUGAGUAAUUCCAUACUCAGGGUUUUAUUCCCUGUUGUUUUUCAGGUUAUAGUUUUGUGCUGUUGUUGAUGGUGUUAAGUGCCGGUGGGCUCGGCCUUCUUAUAUAAGUAUACCCCGUCUUUAUCUUCUUAUUGAGGACGGUCACUUGAGCUAGCAUAUAUUUCAAAACUAUAAAUAAUUUAUAACAGUUCAAAGUUUCUUUCUUUGAAUCACUGUAGUAAUCACUCCGAUCAUGUACGAAGUAAAAUUUUUGUAACUUGUAAAAUUUGGUAAUAAGAUUUCCGCUGCAAAAUAUUGGUGUGUGUGAUUUGUGUUACUUAAUCCCGCGGUUCUGGUUGUAAGUGGUUUAUCCGAUGUCCUUGGGCAAUCAGACGGAUCCUGUUAAGUUAUCUGGUGCACAUGCAUAGCUGUCUGAGGUCUUUGAGACAAGGACAGGUGCAUGUGGGCCUAAUAACUUGGGAGGUUCUGCCACAGCUGGUAUCGGAGCAGGAUUAAGUAUAUACGUUCACAUGCGUAUUUUCAAAACAAAAGUUUUGGUUUCGAAAAACCUAUUUUCAACUAAAAACAUUGAUUGGCUUUAAAAAAUAGUUUUCAAAGACUAUAAUGCUAGCGACAUCCUCUGUUAAGCCCUAAAUUAAGGACUAUCAGGUGGCUUAUUUAGAAACCACUAACCCACAACCGGGUGGGUAUUGCAUACAUGUGUAUUGUUAUUUUUGGGGCCAUUCAGUUCUGAAUGGAUCGACGCUCAGGUAAGGUGAGAUGUGAGAGCAUGACCGAACAAACGUCGGUCUAGGGGAGUGCUUAAUUGUUGCGCUUGAUUAUAUACAUGUUCCACAUAUGUAUAUAUGAAGGCUGCGAUGUGGAGUAUUUACUUUUCUGGGAAUUCAGUACCCCAUGGAUGUGUAUGGGUAUACAAACAUGGGAAUACUGAGAAGUGUAAUGUACUUGUAACGAUGCACCUACGCUCAGGUAAGAAGGUGAGUUACCAUAAUGAGUUGCCCUAUGAUUAAAGUGUGGCAACGGCGCCUAUGCAUGGCUCGGCGCUUAAUGAUGAGCUGGCCUCCAUAUAGCAAUAUAUGGAGUAUAAACUGUGAUACACUGUCAUGUGUGACUUGCAUCAUUGGGAACUGAGCUAUGAUGGAAUUUUCUGCAGGUACACUAACCUCGAAAACGUAUGUGUAGUUGACGACUAGCAAAAUAUCGUGAGAGUCGUAAGAAUGCCACCGAUAUAGAACGUUAUUGCCACAUUAUGUUGGCAAAAUCAGUGAGGACGAAUAGGACGAGCAUGCAUCCUGAUUGUUGCAUUAUGUUUGUCACCUAUACACCCAAAAUGCUUCUCUCAUCUUUAUUCCAGUAACCAUUGAUUGUAGAUAAUGUGGUGUAAUGCUGAAUUAUGAACUUCGAUGAAAUAGGUGUCCUCCAUUCUUUAGGUAACCUAUUAAGGUCUUAUAUGGUGUGUGCUCUUGUGCUUAAUGUGUCGAUAGAAGGUUAGUGACUUGUUUGCCUAAACCCAAAUCUAGGCCAUGUUCUUAGUUGGUGAACCAUGACCAAAGUUGAUUUUUCCGUUACCCCUCCUUGACCCAAACUUAUACAAAUAAAUGCUUAGAUAAUUUCUUCGUUGGACAAAAAGGGUACUUAAGCUUAAAAUAAGAAUCUCGACUCAUAUUUUCAUCUUAGACCAUGCCCUUAUUCGAUUGGCGCAAACUGAUAUCCCUAAUUCCAGCUUGCCUGUUCUUGAUAAUCACAUCAUUGCUUUAUCGACCCAACCUAGGAAAGACAUGUCUCAUCAUUUUCUUGAGUUUGAUGCCUUUGAUUUCCUCAUUUCUAUCGAAGGCAUACCAACUUAAUCUCAUGAUUAUUUUUACUCCGCAUCUAGUCAGAUACUAAUCCUUGACCUUGUAAUCCCUAUGAUGGGCAUAGAAAUAUGUUUGGGGCUGAAUUAACAGUCUCCCAUCGUACUCGCUCACCAACAAAUUUAGGUUAUGGCCAUGCCUUGUUCAUUUCCUUGGGCCAUAAUCUAUUUGGCUCUCUACUUGUAACCAUUCUUACAGGUGGAGUAUCUUUUGUAUAUUGUCACCCUUGCCUAAUCCAUUGAUGUCGCGCGAGAUUUCUUAUUGGUUACAUCUGAUAAUGGUGUUGUGACUAAAACUGAUGGUGCCGCGACGAAACCGAGGGCCUCCUGUGGAUGCAUACACAUGGUUGCGCUACUCGGCGCGCGCUGGUAUCACGGUUAGUAGUUAUAAUCCAUUAUGAGACUAUAUCAAUGUGUUAUCUUGUCACAAAUUGUUCUUACCAUGUGAGAUUCAUUAUUGGUGCCAGUUCGGUAAUGGUGUCACGAUUAACGACUUAUGGUGCCGCAGCGAAACUGAGAGCCCCUUGUGAAUGUACACGCAAGGUUAUGCUGCUUGGCGCAUGCUGGUAUCGAGGUCUCUAGUCAUGAUCCAUUGUGGAACUACACUGAUGUGUGAUCUUCCGUGGACUCCUCCCUUGAAACGAUUUCGGUGUUGUUUGUCGAAGUGAUCAAGCAACAUCUAUCAUUCCUGUUGGAUAAAAAGGACAUACCAUUGUUUUUAUGUGGUCUCUUUUCUUUUGAUCUUGGUAGUGACUACUCAUACAAGUUCCCUUUACGUCCCUUGUGUAAAGGUGAAGCCUUGAAGCUUUUUAGUGUUGGGAGAUAGUUGAUUAGCUCUCAAAAUGGAGAUUGAUUUUCCCCUACUGCUGGAAUGCAGGAGUUUGUUCAUUCGCUCCCUUAUUUAAUCCAUGCAUUCCCAAACCAAGUCAGUUCAUCUCGCAUGAAGAAAUGUAUGAACAACCUGACCAAAUGGAUUUCUACCCAAAUGCAUGAUCUCCCGCUAGCAAAUGUGAACUCUAAACCCUUGGCUUGCCGAUGGGUACUAAGAGGACUUACCCAAUGUCAAAAGUAGUUCAACAAGUUGGUUUUUACUAACUUGUAAUUACUUUGUGAACAAAGGUUGGGUUUAGAGAUCGUUUUGUCGAGUUAUCUAAACUCACUUUGGUUUAACCCACCCUAAGGAAGUGUUUAUAAGAAUCGAGACCAAGUCAGCCAGUAACCACCUAGUCAUCACUCUAGUCACGCCUCGACCCCCUCAUGCAUGCUUUUCCAACAUGUGUGAUUAAGUCGAGCCAUGGUUAGUAUUUGAUGAAAUGGGUUGAUCGUGAAGUCAACAUCAAUAGAUCUCUUCAUUGAUAUUUUCUCGAAUCUUUAACGUCUUUUGUCGACUUGAAUUCUCGGGUUAGCCAUAUGUUAACCGCGACAAUAUUCGACAUCCACACCCGUCCCCUGUGCUAUGAAUUUAUCGUGACCACUUGUUGGUAAAUCUCUUUAUGUGUGUUUUACCCAAGAGGUUGCAACUGAUUCUGUUUGGGUAAAGUCGCAUAUUUACCGCUCGCUCAACAGACUCAGAUAGUACAGUGUUAUCAGAAAAAGCAAACUGCACACAUGGAACCUUAUGUGUUCCCCUGGCAGACAUCAUCUCUAUUGGUGGACAUCUCUAAAUUAGCCCAAGGCGAUACAUGUUAUGUCCACUAGAGAAACGACAUCUUGAGACACUCGUCUUUAUUUGGUAAUGUCUCACGAUUAUCGCUGAUAUGGACAUGGGGUACAUGCUUCUCUACUCUUAGAAGUCUUUCGUUCCGAAUCUCGGGACGAGAUUCUUUUAAGGGGGGAGGGCUGUAACACCCCUGGUGUUUAUAUUCCGCUCGACAACGAGUUCGGAUUUAAGCACGUAAUAUCAACGGAUAAAACAGAUGCUAAAUUUUAAUUAUUUUCGCCUAUCACGAUUUUAAUAUCGCAUCUGUUCCGUUUGUCGCGAGUGCGACAUCAUUUUUACUUCUAUUUAUUCGGGCUCUUCCAAAAUUUUCGUGAUAUUCAGAACGUAGUUGUUCCGAAAAUUGAUGCGUCUGGUGAUUAUUUCAAAUUCAUCGCUCGCGCGAGUACGAAUUCGGAAGCCCGAACCACUUGGACGAUUUUUAUCCCGAACAAGUUAAUUUGAGCUCAACGCCUAAAAUGUGCGGGGCAAAAUAAUUCGAAUCGCGCGAAAUCUUGCGCAAGUUUAUGAUCCAAUUUAUCCUCCAUCCCACACUGUAGGGUAAUCAACUCAACUAUGUUUACAUAACGGAUGAAUUUUUAUCCGAUUUUGACUUAACUAGUGUUGUCUUAAUUAUUGUCCGAAUACUGUAGCCUGAUCUAGUUUGGCUCUUCAAAAUCUUAAUUUUUGGAACCAUGGUACACAGAUUCUUCCUGGAGUCCGACUUUAUCGCCGUGGAGGCCUUAUCCUAUUUUUUUUCGUUCUUCAGAAGUUCAGAGCGUCCCUAUCUCCUUCCCUCUGCUCUGAUUUUUCCAGCAGCCGGUUUCCCCUGAUACUCUUCCACGCUGCGCCGAUUAGCACCUGGAUAUGUUCUCCAGCGCACAACCUUAUCCUGCAGCCACCCUCGCCUGAUUCUUUCCCAGCCGCCGCUCUGGGCGAUUAAAAAUCCUGCUCACCGGCCGGAUCUCCGGCGUCGUCUGCCCCUGCUUUCCUCGGUGUCCUCCCCACAGUCGUCUCCUUCCUCUGCUCGUCGCUGAAAUUCGCCGGCCGCGAACGCCCAUGGCGCACCCCCAGUCCCUGCUUUCUCUUUGCCUCUCUCUCUUAUCCAUGGCCGCCGGUCGCUCCUUUCUGUCCCGCCCGGUGCUCUGCACUGCUCCGUCGCUUGGUCUCCGGCUCGCCGCGUGCGCAAGGUUUCUCUGGUUCAGCCGUUCUUCUUCCUCCCCCUGCGUCCCUGCUCUGCUCUGUCUGCCGCGCGCUGAGUGCCGAGGCUCCUGCUCGACCGCUCCUCUCUGGCUUCUCUCUCUCCCUCCAUCUCUCUCUGCUCACCGCGGCUCUUCCCCAAGUCUGGUGCCAUGGCGCUUGUCAGCCGCGACCUUGCCAGGCUCGGUCCCUGCUGCUGCUCGCCCAUCUCCUUCAUCUCCCUCCUCUCCAUCGUGGUGUUCCUCUCCCUGGUGCUUUUCUGUGCCGGCCGCCCUCACCUCUGCUCCUCCUGGUUGGCCGAGCAGCUCGCCCUCUCUUGUCGUGCGUCCUGCUCGCCCUCAGCUUUUCACGGAGCUCGCCCCGGCCUUAGCUCCUUGCUCGUCAUGGCUACUGUGCGCUCCCUGCUCUUGUGCCGCAUGCAGGCUUCCCUGCCGGAGUUCCGCCAUCCGCGGCCUCUGCCCUGCUUCCUUGGCUGCGUGUCCUUCUGCCGGCCAAGCUCGGCUCUGCGCUUUCCCUUUCUCUGUGCUUGUGCUCGCCGUGCCGCGAGUCACUGGCCAGCAGUCCAGCUCGCCUCCACUUCCUACGUUCCCUGCUCCAGCUCUACUGUCGCGCGCAGCUCGCCCCUGUGCAGGUGAAUCGCCCUUGGUGCUGGUCGCGUGUUCCUCGCCCGGCUCGGUCGCGACCUCGCCGUUGUUCCUCAGCUCGGCGCCUGCUUCUUGUUCAUGUUGCCCGUGUCAAGCUCCCUUUAACCGGUCGUCGUCUAGCUCCUCUAUUGCGCGCGUGAGGUUCUCUCCUCGUCACGGUGUGUCGAGUUUUCUCGUCGAGUCUCGCCGCGUGUCCUGUUUCCUGCUCGCCAGCGUGCCCUCUCGGCUCGCUCGGCUUUAAAAUCCCUAUCUCGUCGUCGACCUCACCAUGACUUAGUUCGUCUGUCGUGCUGGUCACUAUUCCAUAUUGUGCCUAUUAGCUCGGAUCCUGUCCCAGCUUGUCGUUGUGUCAUUCAUAGUCCAGUCGUCAAACCCGUCAUCUCCUGCUCAACCCCACCUCACCAGCUCGCUCAAGACUGCAAUCGAAGGUCGUCGUCAAUCCGUGCGUCAGCACGAAAUCCCAAGAAUCGGGUGAAGACGAAGCUAGCAGCGCGAUAUUUCUCAAGCGCUCGACAAAUUGCCUAGAUCGAAAGAUCACUACCGAUCUCGCGGAUUCGAGUCAGCUAUUGAAACGGUAAGCUGAUGAAUUAUUCAGAAUAGUUCGAUCGUUGAAUAAAUUAAUGUGCUAGUGCGAUGCUCAUUAGGUGCUCGAUUAAUUGCGUGAGUCACGAAACUCUCGUCGACUUCGCAGUUCUUGCGAUUAUCAAGCCAGGUUCAGUUAUAGCGGGUUAUUUCGCUAUUCCGGUCAAUUAGUUGAAUUAGUGUCUCCGUAUGAAAUUGUUCGACGCCUCGCUGCUAGGUGUUUUAAUUCGCUAUCGCGUAGCAUUAUUUAGGUUUGUAAUAUUUCCGUCGAUAUGCAUUCAUGUGCAUAAUGCAUUUCAUUCAGGAACGUUAAUCAAUCGCGCGAUGCGGAAGACAAGCCAAGUCGACCCCAAGCGCGGGCUACUCCGCAGGAUGAUGCUGAUGGACAAGCCUGAAGAUACUCGUCAAGUGGACGUCACCUAACAACACUAACCUAGUGUUACUCAGGCAAGCCCCGGUGCAUGCAACCCCUUUCCUUGUGUUUUUAAAUACUUUUCGCACACUUUAAGUCUAGUGAAAUGUGCAUUAGGUUCAUAGGAGUUGCUUGGAACCCUUUGAUGCAUUGCUUUCCUUGAUAUCCAUACCUUUAUAGAUACUUCCGUGAAGUAUCAAAAAUAUGAUUUACAAAAACGCUUAGCCUUGCUUAGAUCUUGUGGAUAGAGGUUGUCCUCAGUCUAACCCAGGAGAGGAUGGCUUCUACCUGCAAGAAUAUUUUCAUUUGGA